rnacentral:rRNA from 1 species
UGAGUACGAGAUGCUACGGCAUCGAAGCAGUCUAUGUCAUACUUCCAAGAAAAGCUUGCAAUGUCAUAAACAAAUAAUGCCUGUACCAUAACCGACACAGGUGGGUAGGUAGAGUAUACUAAGGGGCGCGAGAUAACUCUCUCUAAGGAACUCGGCAAAAUGACUCCGUAACUUCGGGAGAAGGAGUGCCUUAUUUUUAUAAGGUUGCAAUAACAAGAUCCAAGCAACUGUUUACCAAAAACACAGGUCUCCGCUAAGUCGUAAGACGAUGUAUGGGGGCUGACGCCUGCCCAGUGCCAGAAGGUUAAAGAAGUUGGUUAGCAUUAGCGAAGCUGAUAACUGAAGCCCUGGUGAACGGCGGCCGUAACGAUAACGGUCCUAAGGUAGCGAAAUUCCUUGUCGGGUAAGUUCCGACCCGCACGAAAGGCGUAAUGAUUUGGAUACUGUCUCGGAGAGGGGCUCGGUGAAAUAGACUUGUCUGUGAAGAUGCGGACUACCUGCACCUGGACAGAAAGACCCUAUGAAGCUUUACUGUAACUUGAGAUUGAAAUUGGACUUUAUCUGCGCAGUAUAGGUGGGAGACGUUGAAAAUAUUCUUGCGGGAAUAUUGGAGUCAUCAGUGAGAUACCACUCUUAUAAUGUUAGAUUUCUAACUUUGUAUCAUUAUCUGGUCAAAGAACAGUUUCAGGCGGGCAGUUUGACUGGGGCGGUCGCCUCCCAAACGGUAACGGAGGCGCACAAAGGUUUCCUCUGAACGUGUAGAAAUCGUAUCUAGAGUGUAAAGGCAUAAGGAAGCUUGACUGUGAGACCUACAAGUCGAGCAGGGACGAAAGUCGGUCUUAGUGAUCUGACGGUGCUGAGUGGAAAGGCCGUCACUCAACGGAUAAAAGUUACUCUAGGAUAACAGGCUGAUCUCCCCCAAGAGUUCACAUCGACGGGGAGGUUUGGCACCUCGAUGUCGGCUCAUCGCAUCCUGGGGCGGUAGUACGUCCCAAGGGUUGGGCUGUUCGCCCAUGAAAGCGGUACGCGAGCUGGGUUCAGAACGUCUGAGACAGUUCGGUCCAUAUCCGGUGUAGGCGUUAGAAUAUUGAGAGGAGCCUUCUUUAGUACGAGAGGACCGAGAAGGACAUACCUCUGGUGUACCAGUUAUCGUGCCAACGGUAAACGCUGGGUAGCCAUGUAUGGAGAGGAUAACCGCUGAAAGCAUCUAAGUGGGAAGCCCACCUCAAGAUAAG